GCCGCAGCUUUGCGCGUCUUCACCUUCUGCUAACCUUCAUGUGACUAAUUGGACUAAACCACCAGCGGGGGUUCACGUCGCACGUGUUCUGAAGGAUUAAUUGUCAUGUUAAUAAUAGCAGCGUCUACAGUUUUUUUGACACUUUCAGAGGACAGACGCAUGUCCCACAUGUUCGUACAGCCACUCGCUUUAGUUAAAACUCAUUUAACUACUCGAAGCAAACACGCGCCCCCUCUACGUUCAAACAUGGUGGAACAAGGAAGUAGAAAAGGCUGGAGUUGAUGGUCGGGCUUUUUUGUCUGGUGUCUGAGGUUGGAGGAGGACGUCACGCUGCAGGAUGGAACUAAAGUUUCUGCUGGCGUUGCCUGAGGACGGCGCGGCGCGGCACCACGUCCGUCUGUGAAUGUGGAGCUGAGGAGUCGAGGGACGCGGAGUGAAAGGUAUUCAGGAGGGAGAGGACAGCGCCCGCCGGACAAUUUACUGCCCUUCUCUGGGAAUUCCACAUGAUCCAGGAGCCUCCUGUUACCUGAUAUAUCGUGUCUGAAGUGGAGGCUGCGCCAACAGAAGCCCUUUAGGGGGAACGAUGGCCCCGCGACGCGUCGGACCUCCGGUUCUGCUCCAGCCAAUGUACCUGAAAGCAGCAGGCGCUUCAGGACGGAACCGCCCCGCGUCCCGUUCAUUAAGGUGGAGCAGCGCUGCCCGUCUGCAGGGAACCGGUCCGACGUUUCCUCCAGGCAGAACUUUGGCUUCAUUCAUCUCACGUUGGUUCAGUCUCACAGGCAGAGCAAGCGUCACACACAUGAGAACUGCACAAUAAAGCUUUUAUUCAAACUGGAAGAUGAAGUGAUGGAGAAAAUUCCUUAAGAUGAACCGAGGCCAGUGGAUCAAACGCAGCUUGUCAUUUCUGUGCUGCAGGAUCAUUUCCAGACUAGCGAGGUGACGAACGUCUUGUCAAAUUCAAAUGCAAAACCCCCUUUGACCCGACAAAACCCCGUGCACACGGACUGCGUGAAUUGAGUUGUUCGUCCACUUGAUCAUUCAUGCGAUGUGCUGUCAGACAUGCAGGGUUAAACUGGGAGCUUGUCUCCCUGUCAAUCACAAGCAGAGAGACGAACAUCUCUGUCGCUGUGCCCCCCCCCUCAGUGUGAUAUCUGUGUUAAACAAGGCCGCCGUGCAGGCUUAGAGCCGCUGCCUGGGGAAAUCACAGCUGUGCGUGUGUCAUACAUAUCCAUGCAGCGGCGGCGGCUGUGUGCGCGCUCUGUUAGCAGCAUCUGAUACGCUUUGCUGCAGUGACUCCUGGGGGUAAUUGACGGGCUCAGGCUCCUUGUUUGGGCCGGUCUCAGGAGGGGCAGUUAGGCUCAGACCUGCAGACCUCCACUCAUGGAGAAUGCAUAAAGGGAUCUCUGGUGUAUCCUCGGAUUAGGGGCUGAAUGAAGCCACAGCAGCUGGAGGUGCUUUAAAUGUGUAUGUUUGUGUGAUAUGUUCAAGCCCAGUAUUUGAAGUGGGAGAACGUGUGCUCUAGACAGACGAUGCAGACGCAGGUUAACAGAUGAGCCGAGGCGCCUCCUGCUGGGUCUGAGCGCUGCUCCAUCGGCUCCCUUUCUUCUGCUGGGACCUCUUGGGUCGGAACCUGGUUCUGUGGAGUCUGAGCUGCUUGCUUGGAACACGUGGGACCUGCAGCGUCCCCUCAGCCCACCUGCUGUGCAGCCGUCAGUCUGGUCACAUGAGCAGAGCCACGCGCUGCAGUGGCCGCUUCCAGCUCCGUGAAGGUUGAUCCCCUGCUUUUUAGAGCAGACCAUCACACAGACCAGCAGAUGCUCCUGC